CGGGGGAGCCCUCUCCGUCAGCACCUGGAAGCAAAACUUCGGCUUGCUUGGAGACUCCAGCUAUACAUUAGAACCGUGGUUCCUGACACCAGUGCCCGGACGACCAGCUCGUGGCACCCCUGAUGACCACUACAACAAGGCCCACACCGCCAUUGCGCAAUGUUGUGGAGUGGUGCAUCGCUGUAAGCUUGUGCACAGCUGCUCAAGCAUCAUUGCUGCUUGUGCAGCUCUGCACGACAUUGCGUUGGCGGCACAUGAGCCUGUUCUCGAAGGAAACGAUGACGACACCGACGAUGCUGACUGCUGCCAGCAGCAGCUGAGCUACCACCACCACCACCACCACAACGGGAGCCAGCAGCAGCGCAACCGUGUAGUGAACCUGUUUCGAGAACUACAGGGCCUGCAUGCUUGAGCACCUGCGCAGAGUACGCCGCCGCCUGCAACGACCUCGGCAGCAUUGCGUGGUGCCUUCCGCUGCAAUGAGGGCCCGGGCGAGGGUACCAACGCCUUGCAAUUUGUGGACCGCGUCACCGAGAAGUUGAACCUGGCGCAGCUUUCCAAUGAUGCCUGGCCCUGCCGCCUGGUGUUUGCGGCUAGUAACUCCAGCGCCUCGGCCUGCCGGUUGCCCCCAUCUCGCAGCUGCGGCAUGAGCUGGAAACCAAGAAAUGUGUUGCCAUUAUCAUCUAUAAA